CCUACGGGAGGCAGCAGUGGGGAAUAUUGCGCAAUGGGCGAAAGCCUGACGCAGCGACGCCGCGUGAGGGAUGAAGGUCUUCGGAUCGUAAACCUCUGUCAGCAGGGAAGAACGGUCACUGUGCUAAUCAGCAGUGACUUGACGGUACCUGCAAAGGAAGCACCGGCUAACUCCGUGCCAGCAGCCGCGGUAAUACGGAGGGUGCGAGCGUUAAUCGGAAUUACUGGGCGUAAAGCGCUCGUAGGCGGUAUGUCAAGUCAAGGGUGAAAUCCCCGCGCUCAACGUGGGAACGGCCUUUGAAACUGGCAAACUGGAGUGUGUGAGAGGAUAGUGGAAUUCCAGGUGUAGGAGUGAAAUCCGUAGAGAUCUGGAGGAACAUCAGUGGCGAAGGCGACUAUCUGGCACAUAACUGACGCUGAGGAGCGAAAGCGUGGGUAGCAAACAGGAUUAGAUACCCCAGUAGUC
rnacentral:rRNA from 1 species